AGGGAAAGACACAUUCCCAGGCUCUCAGAGGGCAGGGACAUUUUAUACAGCAUUGGAUUCCAUCAUCUUGCUUUUAUUUGACUUGAAAAGACCUUAAUUUUUAGAAAAUUUGAAAUUUAAAGCUGUCUGGUCGCUAAAAGCUCCUUUAAACUCUUAUUGUGGUUUGGAGCCAUACAUCAUCAAAGCUGUGAUCCUGAGAUGAUGUGCUGCACCCGUAUAUCAUGGGAGCACUGUCCGUCUCAUGAUAUAUUAUUGUAGCUCACAACUGGAGCACCACCAUUGAUAUAUGGCUUAAAAACACAAUUGUUAAGGCAAAAAACUCGACGGGGUCUCCACAAAUUCUGGGAGUUUUAUUUUGUUUUGUUUUUUAACUGAACUGGCUUUUAGCUUUUAUUUUUUUCUUAAAGUCUCUCAACUUAACUGGGCCAGUCUGGGCAGAGGAACAACACUGUGUUUCUUCUGUUUCAUGAAAGGCAUACCAGUUGCUUGAACAUGGCUGAUAUUCUAAAGGACGGAACACUUUGACAGGAGGGUCAGAAACCGUCACUGUGCCUGUGCCUUUUGACAGACCACUAAUUUUGUUCUUGAAUUGACCGUGUCAAGGUGUCCUCAAAGCCCCGUGCGCAGGAGUACUCCAGUGACAUUUAUUUUGGAACUACAAAACCCUACUUCCCAAAGCAAUGAUAGGACAGCUUCAAGUUUUUAAGACUGUUCGGUGAGAAGAAAGUCAAAUGUAUCAUCACUGCCAUUUAGAAAGUUGACAAACUCGAGCAAGAUUUAUAAAACCACAAUAAACCCAUGUAAAUCUGGUCAUUUUUCUGGCAGGAGGGCAUACUCAUGCAACAAGACAGGUGGAAUUCCAGUGACAACUGGAUUAACCAGAGAGGAAAAAAAAAAA